rnacentral:rRNA from 1 species
AUUGAACGCUGGCGGCAGGCCUAACACAUGCAAGUCGAACGAGUGGCGGACGGGUGAGUAAUAUCUGGGAAACUGCCUGAUGGCGGGGGAUAACAACUUGAAACGGUAGCUAAUACCGCAUACCAUCGGAUGUGCCCAAAUGGGGUUAGCUAGUGGGUGGGGUAAAGGCUCACCAAGGCGCCGAUCCCCAGCUGGUCUGAGAGGAUGACCAGCCACACUGGAACUGAGACACGGUCCAGACUCCUACGGGAGGCAGCAGUGGGGAAUAUUGCACAAUGGGCGAAAGCCUGAUGCAGCCAUGCCGCGUGUAUGAAGAAGGCCUUCGGGUUGUAAAGUACUUUCAGCGGGGAGGCGUUACCCGCAGAAGAAGCACCGGCUAACUCCGUGCCAGCAGCCGCGGUAAUUC